rnacentral:rRNA from 1 species
AUCAACGCUGGCGGCGCGCUUAACACAUGCAAGUCGAACGAGAAAGGGAAAGGCACUGGGUAACUGGUGCUGAGUACUGAGUAAAGUGGCGUACGGGUGAGUAACACGUGGGUGAUCUGCCCUCUGGUGGGGAAUAACCCUGGGAAACCGGGGCUAAUACCGCAUAACUCCGAGAGGAGAAAGUCGCAAGACGCCGGAGGAGGAGCCCGCGCCCGAUUAUGCUAGUUGGUAGGGUAAUGGCCUACCAAGGCUGUGAUCGGUAGCCGGCCUGAGAGGGCACACGGCCACACUGGCACUGAAACACGGGCCAGACUCCUACGGGAGGCAGCAGUGGGGAAUCUUGCACAAUGGGGGAAACCCUGAUGCAGCGACGCCGCGUGAGCGAUGAAGCCCUUCGGGGUGUAAAGCUCUUUCGGCAGGAACGAUAAUGACGGUACCUGCGGAAGAAGCUGCGGCUAACUACGU